UUCUUAGGACUUAAGCAGGUAAUAAGGCCAGGCAUGCUUCAGAUGGUGUGCCAAGGAACAAUGGUGUGACUUCAGACAAGUGGAGAAUAGAUGUGACACACUCCUACUUGAUCCUGAUGCAGAUUUCCAGCCAAUCAACUGAGAUGAAGUUUUUUUCCCUCCUCGUCUCUCGCUCUCUUUGCAAAGGAUUAUGGUAGAUGCACAGAAACAAUAACAGAGCUGUAAGCACGGAGGCCCUGUGCAGCAGGAUGUCAGCAGGUCAGCUGAAGGACAGCGAGCACAGAGUCUGCGACGUGCUUAAGAGAGGCUCUUCAGCAGGACGUAUUCAUCCAGAUCUGUGUGCACAGGGAAACGUUUCAAGCUGUGAUAUUACAAUUCUGAGGCCUGGAACUAAUGACUGUUUGUUUUAAUGCUUUAUGUUACUGCAAACAUCCAACGUAAAUGCAUACCCCACAUGAUCUGUAGACCAUUUCAUACACAACCAGGGGACUUCCCACUGGCCUUAAAUGUGUGUGUGGGUGUUGUUUCAUUUGUUUCCUCGUGUGGAUAGUCUCUUUGUGAGGACGAUGAGGAGGAAGAAAACAAAACCAACACACACACACACAGAGGACUGAGCCGAAUAAACAGGUGGGCGAACAAACGUGCAAACACACACAGGCAGGCGGUGUUUACAGUCACCUCUCUCAGACCUGAUUGUCUUCAUUUGUCUAAACUAAAGGCUGCGAGCACUUCUAAUAAAAACCCUCCCUUCUACACAA